UACGGGAGGCAGCAGUAGGGAAUCUUCCACAAUGGACGAAAGUCUGAUGGAGCAACGCCGCGUGAGUGAUGAAGGUUUUCGGAUCGUAAAACUCUGUUGUAAGGGAAGAACAGGUAUGAGAGGUAAUGCUCAUGCUAUGAC
rnacentral:rRNA from 1 species